rnacentral:rRNA from 1 species
UAGUCCACGCCGUAAACGAUGAUCACUCGCUGUUGGCAAUACACCGUCAGCGGCUAAGCGAAAGUGUUUAGUAAUCCACCUGGGGAGUACGAUCGCAAGAUUGAAACUCAAAGGAAUUGACGGGGGCCCGCACAAGCGGAGGAACAUGUGGUUUAAUUCGAUGAUACGCGAGGAACCUUACCUGGACUUAAAUGUACGUUGCAUAGAUUGGAGACAGUCUUUUCUUCGGACUACGUACAAGGUGCUGCAUGGUUGUCGUCAGCUCGUGCCGUGAGGUGUCGGGUUAAGUCCCAUAACGAGCGCAACCCCUAUCCUUAGUUGCCAGCGGAUUAUGCCGGGGACUCUGAGGAGACUGCCACCGUAAGGUGUGAGGAAGGUGGGGAUGACGUCAAAUCAGCACGGCCCUUAUGUCCAGGGCUACACACGUGUUACAAUGGACGGUACAAAGGGCAGCUACCUGGCGACAGGAUGCUAAUCUCUAAAGCCGUUCUCAGUUCGGAUCGAAGUCUGCAACCCG